UCAACAUUGUGUAGCACACAGGGAUUCAUAUUGAAGACAGAGGCCUUGUUACAGAGUGUGGUUUACCUUUGCAUAUCACUUGCAACUGAAGGCCCCCUUCAACAGGAAGCUACUGUGGUCUUCUGAGUAAGAAGACCACAUCUGUGCUACUGCUCAGAACUUUGUUCCAUUGGCUGCAGCUACAAAUAGUAUUUGGGUGAGUACAAUAAAAUAAGCAUUUAUAAACCUAAAUUAACUAUAUGUGUCAUGCACUAAAAUAACCUGGUUUAUGUGCAUGAAUAUGCUUCAUAGUUGUUAAUAAUCACAGAAAAAGCUGUCUACAUGAACAUAAUCUAAGUACUUGUGAUUGUUAUAACGUGAAUAACAUAUAAAAUAAAUUAAGUACCAGUUUAAAUGUAACACUAUAUUAAAUGUUUUCAGAUAUGUAUAAAAUUAAAUGGGAAGAAUUGAAAGGGGCACAGCUGCUCAGACAGGAAGUGACCUAAUCGAUUCCCUCUGUGUCUGAACUUAGUUGCAGAGGUUUGCCAUUUACCUUGCUCAUAUAGUAGCUACUGAAUGUAUGUGCCUGAUACUUUCACUUACAUUUCUGAUACCACUCACCACCAUAUAUUAAAAUACAGAAAAUGUUCUUGGUCAAAACUGAUGGCUGUUUUUUCUGGAUGGUAUUAUGUUAUACCUCUGUUGCUUCAAUGGGAAACAAACAUUGCCAUGCCUCCUGUAACACAUCCACCCUCCAGGCUCCACUGGGCUCUGCGGUGCUUUUGUCAUGCAGCUUUGGGUCUACCUCUCUGGGCAUCAGCCCUGGCCAUGGAUGGGUGGUGUGGAACCAGAUCUCUGGUUCUGGUGCCAGCCUGGUCAACAUCACAUCCUCUGGGAAGGUGGACUUUCUGGACCCUAGGCAGGGCAGAGUGAAGGUUUUCCCCAAUCAGGGAGGUGUGGGGAACUUCUCCAUCAGCAUUGAUGCCCUUCAGGCCUCAGACCUGGGUUCCUACUGCUGUGAGCUACAGAGUAAUGACCAGUGCCAUCGAGUGGAAGUUGAGGAACUUGAUCAAGACAGUAGAGAUCCGCAAGUGUUGUUUUUCAGCGUUGGUGGUGUGGCCGUCCUCAUAGUGCUCCUGAGUGGCUGUUUCUGCUGGGUGAAAUGGACACGAUCCAGUACACUUCCUGAGGACGUUGCGUGUAGUGACGAUGUUGGGAGAGACGUGGCACAGAAGAGAGGAGCCGGCAAUGAGCGACCUAUCUAUGAAAACAAUGAGCACGAUCCAACCAGAAUGCAGCAUGAACCGACCAGAAUUCAGCAAAAUCCAACCAGAAUUCAGCAGGAUCCAACCACAAUUCAGUAUGAUCCAACCGGAAUUCUGCAUGAACCACCAAGAAACCAGCACGAACCAGCUAGAUACCAAAAUAAACCAGUGAGAGAUUUGAGUGAGAAAAGAAGAGGGUUUCAUAGAGAACUCAAGAGCAGAUUGCGCCAAUCGAGUCUCGGACAGCAUUACUAUGCAAACCAAGCAGAGAUCAAUGAGCAAGCCAGAGCUCAGAUCGACAGCCACCAAAGAGCAAACGAGGCAGAGACCAACCAGGAGGGAAGAUUCCAAAUGGACAACCGCCAAAGAGGAAGCUUUUGGAGAAAGAAACCCAAAGAGAAAUGUGAAUAUAAAAACCCUAUCUACAACAAGAGUACAGACCAAAUCAACAAAUGAUGGGGAUGAUGAGGAUACUGGGUCUCAACACCUUGGUCUCCUUGUUGUUUGGGUUGUAUUUUUUAAAUAAAGUAUUGUCUUGAAAGUGAAACAAAUAUGAAAUAAAGUGAAAUCAUUUUUGCUUCAAUGGUUUGAGAUUCUUUCAUGCACCAAUGAAUCAUCCAAUGGGAAUCAGAAAGGAUCUAAUCAAGGCCAUUAACCCUAAUGACCCUCAGCUGUGUAACCCCACCAGUGGAUGGUCACCCAGGCCCAAUGUCCACUGUUUGCUGACCAUCAGAGAUCAUUUGUUAUUCGCGGAGUGAGAGGGAUAUAAUCCAUACUUUCAACCGCACUUUAAAUAGACAUAAAUGACACUGUGAGUGGUCAUAAUGGGUAUAUGUCUCUCUACAUUCCUAAAGAGCAAUUCACCCAUUUUGCAUUUAACAUUUAUGUCCAAG
rnacentral:lncRNA from 13 species